GGGGUUGUGGUUCAGUGGUAAAGCGCUCACCUUGCAUGUGCAGGGCCCUGGGUUCAAUCCUCAGCACCCCA
rfam:Ictidomys tridecemlineatus contig057017, whole genome shotgun sequence.